AAGACUAUACUUUCAGGGAUCAUUUCUAUAGUUCGUUACUGGAUUGCUGUGUUGGCAGAGGGGCUUAUAGGGGUGCAGAAAAUUUUCAUUGAACACUGUCGUAAGCAUGGAGCUCUUUUGAGUAUAGAUGUACAAGUACAGGUUACAGUCCAUGAAUCUGUGGACUGUAGGCCUACCCAUCUGAGGUAGGCCUACCCUCAUGAUGGAGCUGAUUCUUAGAAGA